UACAGAGGUCUCAACCGUUGUUCGGAUUCAUUGGGCGUAAAGGGUGCGUAGGCGGUCGUGCAAGUCGGAUGUGAAAUCUCAGGGCUCAACCCUGAAACUGCAUUCGAUACUGCGUGGCUAGAGUGCUGGAGAGGAGACUGGAAUUUACGGUGUAGCAGUGAAAUGCGUAGAUAUCGUAAGGAAGACCAGUGGCGAAGGCGGGUCUCUGGACAGUUCCUGACGCUGAGGCACGAAGGUCAGGGGAGCAAACGGG
rnacentral:rRNA from 1 species